AUUGAACGCUGGCGGCAGGCCUAACACAUGCAAGUCGAGCGGAGCGGCGGAGGGGUGAGUAAUGGCUAGGACUCUGAAAGGUAGUGGGGGAUAACGAUCGGAAAUGGGAGCUAAUACCGCAUACUCUCAGAAGAGCCUGGGUCGGAUUAGGUAGUUGGUGGGGUAGAGGCCUACCAAGGCGAAGAUCCGUAACUGGUCUGAGUGGAUGAUCAGUCACACUGGAACUGAGACACGGUCCAGACGCCGACGGGAGGAAGCAGUGGGGAAUAUUGGACAAUGGGCGAAAGCCUGAUGCAGCCAUGCCGCGUGUGUGAAGAAGGUCUUCGGAUUGUAAAGCACUUUAAGUUGGGAGGCGUUACCAACAGAAUAAGCACCGGCUAACUUCGUGCCAGCAGCCGCGGUAAUAC
rnacentral:rRNA from 1 species